UGAACUAUGCAUAUGAAUAGCUUAUCGAAAGUGAUGUGAAUAUAACCUAUAUGAUGUGUUAAUGUGAAUAUAACCUAUACAUAUCAUAGUUCACCGGGGAAUAAUAGAGAUUAGUGAACCUGAACUAUGCAUAUGAAUAGCUUAUCGAAAGUGAUGUGAAUAUAACCUAUAUGAUGUGUUAAUGUGAAUAUAACCUAUACAUAUCAUAGUUCACCGGGGAAUAAUAGAGAUUAGUGAACCUGAACUAUGCAUAUGAAUAGCUUAUCGAAAGUGAUGGUGAAUUCCUUUCUUGUAAUUAAGUUCCUAGAGUAGAUGAAACAUAAACUAUACCUAUUAUAGUUUAUUACAUUGUUUGUAAUAUGUAUUUACCAUAACUAUACCAAUUAUAACUAAUGAGUUCGUUUGUGGGGGUAUAAUGGCUUAACUAUACUUAUUAUAGAUUAUCUUAAUCGUCCAUAGCGGCAAUAACUCUUAUGUAAGUGUAAGACCUUUAAUAUUGUGUUUGUUAUAUGAAUGACCCUAAACUAUACCUAUUAUAGUUUAUCGAUUGAUUUCGUGGGAAAUGAGCAUAGGCCUUACUUGUCAUAAUUUAUCAAUAUUUAUAUUUUAAUGGAUAUAGCCUCGUAGUAUCGUAUAUAUAUAUAUAUAUAUUUGUCAUACUUGUGAAGAUGUAAAUCCAUGUGUUUUCUGAUGUAUGUCUAUGUAGGAAUACAAAAUUUGUCAUAUAUUGCAACUACACAUAAUCAACUAACGAUGUAUACCUUGCUCGACAUGUUACAAGGUGAAAUGAAAUUUAUUGUGUUUUUCUGUUAAUAACCUUUUCUGUAACUGAUAUUGGAAAAAUUGUAGAAAAAUCAUAAAAUGUCCAAAUCAGGUUCUGUAACUUCUGGGAGUUUGGAAAAUGAGUCUAGUUUGUUCAUAAUUUUUAUUAUAAUUUUUAAUGAUCUCUAACUUGGGUGAAAAAGUCCAUAAUCACAGACUGGUCCGGAUUGAUGUUAGAAAUGAUAGGCGGUUUUGUAAAAAUCACCAUAAAUUGUAGAAAAAUCGUAUGGAGAUGUGCAAGUAGUCAUUUUAAAGCUAAGAAGUGGAACUACAUGCACCUAAAACAGUUUUGAAAACAAAAAUAUUUAAGAUGUCCAAAACAGUCCGUGAAUGGAGUGAAACUUUUCUGAUGAAAGCUGUUAGAAAAAUGUAGUUAUGUUCUAAGCAUUUUAACUUGUAUUCCCCCCCUAAAAACUUGAGAAAACGUGAAAAAUGUAGGGGUAUGAACUCACCUUGUAUGAUUUUAGUAGAUAAGUGUUGAAGAAGGGAAGUGUUCAACCCAAGAACACUAGGAGAACCGUUUGAAGAUUCGAAGCUCUAACACAAAUAUAAUGAAGUUUGUGUAAGAUAUCCAUGAUUUGAGUGGAAAUAAUAGAGGUAAUCAUAAAGGAAAUGGAUUAUGCUUACCAAAGGUGGAGGAAACUCUCAAGAUCAGCCCUUGAAUCUUGGAUUUCUAGAGAGAGAAAGUGAGAGAGAAAGGAGUUUGAUCUUCUUGUGAAAUGAGAACAAAUGAAAGAAAAAUGAGGAGAGAGGAUGAUUAUCCAGCCCUCAAAGCAUGGAGGUGGCUUGUGAGGGAGGUAAAAAGUACAAGGUAUGGUGGGGAGGAGUGUGGGUUGUCAUGGAGUGGGUGAGGGGGUUGCUUGCGUCAUAACUAAGGUAAGGUCAACACUUCUUCUUUUUGUACUUUACCAACUCCUUUUUAAAUAAGAUUUUACCCUUAAAAUGUGAUUAAAUCAUUAAUUUAGGGGUCUUAUAAUUAAAAAUAAAGUUUUGGGUGAAAAUCCCAUGUUAAAAUAAUUAAAAAUGGGUUUAAAAUGCAAAAAUAUGCAAAAACGGGCGAAAAAUGUAAUUUCCAGCAAGUUUCUUCGGACCUAGGCCGAGGCUCGGUCCCUAGGCCGAAGUCUGGUCAGGCGGCGCUUGGGUUCGGACGCGGAUGGCUGGUCUCGGAAGCGAAGGCGCGAGCCAGAAGAAGGGGCGAGGCGAGGGUCUGGUCCGAGGCGAUGCAGUCCGAAGCGAAGUGGGAAGCGAAAGCAGGUUCGGUCCGAGGCAGCUAUCCGACGCGAAGGUAGAGUUCGGUCCGAAGGGUGGCUAGAACCGAAGCUACUGUUGUGAACAGUAGUGAACAGUAACUUCGGUUCGGACCUUCCUUCCAUGUGAGGUUCGGUUCGGACCUUUCUUCUUAGCAGGGUUCGGUUCGGAUCUCUUUCAUGGCCGGGUUCGGUUCGGAUGAACAGUACUUUCGGUUCAGCUCAUGAACAGUACUUUCGGUUCGGACCCUCAUGAAUAGUGCUUUCGGUUCGGUUCGUGAAUAGUACUUUCGGUUCGGAGGGUUCGUUCCCUUAAGUCCGUUUUUCGCGUAGACUUCCGUUCUUGGGCUAUUUUCGCCAAAUUCGAGGGUCGGGAUGCCCCGAGUGAUUAUAGAAAGUUGGGAGAGAUUUCGAGAGAGAUUUGAGAGAGAUUCCUCGUUCUCAGAGAGAUUUGGGAGAGAUUUGACGUACUUGGAGAGAUUUCGCAUACGAAGAGAUACGUGAGAGAGAUUUCACAUACUUAGAGAGAUUUGGGAGAGAUUUGACAUACUUGGAGAGAUUUCACAUACAAAGAGAUAUGUGAGAGAGAUUUCACAUACUUAGAGAGAUUU
rnacentral:lncRNA from 1 species